UACCUUAGAUCCAGUGAGAAGCUUGCUAGGUUAGAGACUGGUUAGCAAGGUAUCUUCGGGCGGACCUACUAUCUGAUUUAACUUAUUGCUCCUGAGCUGGGAACCCGCAUUACAUGUACCAAUCCUGUCUCUCAUUUGAUUUUCCUAUGUUUACUAGUUAUAUCUUGGUGUGUUUUCAACACCAGCAUUCCUUCUGUAUAACCACUCUUGCCUGUGUUUAACAUCACUCAAGGACUCAUCAUAAGCACUGCUUGCAUACGAGUAUAACGGAAGAAGAAGAAGAAGAAGAAGAAGAAGAAGAAGAAGAAGA
rnacentral:sRNA from 2 species